GCGUGCGCUACCACUGCCUGUCUGUUCGUGGUCUUAAGUCAGCUUUUUUGAAUAAAUUAUUUCUUCUGUUGAUUUUUAAGAAUUAUGGUGUCAAAAAAAAAAAAAAAAGAAUUAUGGUGUCUCGAAGUUGAAGCUCUGACAGGUGUGCAGAUGUGAGUUUAGUUUUAGUGAUCUACCUGCCCUGGAGCACCAAUCUUUAGUUUGUUAGCAAAGGUGCUAUUCUAGUUGUUGUGAUAAAUCCCUGACAGAAUCAGCUGGAGGAAGAGGAAAGGUUGGUCACAGUUUGAGGCAGGGAAGUUAAAUGGUGGUAGGAACUUGAGGCAGCUGGUCACAUUGCAUCUACAAGUAAGAAACGGGGAGGUUAAUGCUAGUGCUCAGCUCAUUUGCUCAUUUUUAUCCAGUCUGGGGCCUCAGCCUACAGAGUGGCACCACCCACACUCAGUACAUUUUCUGGGUUCUGUUAAACUUACAGCAGCAUCCUCAUGUUGCUGCCCAGAAGUGUGUUUCCAUGGUGAUUCUCAAUCUCAUCAAGUUGACAAUGAAGUUUAGCCAUUGCAGGUAUCAGUUGUCUUGCUUGCGUGCUGCGCAGGAAUCUGGGAAGAUGGGCUGGCGCUUGUCUACCGUUUUCAUACUUACACAGUAGUAUGACUCAUUCCAUGGUCAGUGGUAGCUGCUAAGUCCACCCCCGCCUCACUGCUAACCGAGGAUCAGAAAGUAUAGUCAGACUUCAUCACGAGGACUUUGGUAGAUGGCACUCCACACUGAGAGUGGAUGUGCCAUUCUCUCAAGAGUGAGGACUCCUGAGGGAGACUCUUGGUUUUCAGUUCAACCAUGCUCUUCAUCCUGCCCCUUCUCACCUCACCAUGUAGUCCAGACUGACCUCCAUCCUCCUGUCUCAGCCAGCAGAGUCUGGGAUUAGUGUUUGCCACCACUCUGGGCUGCAAUGCCCUCUGUUUUAGUUAGGGUUUCCAUCGCUGUGAAGAGACACCACGACCAAGGCAACUCUUACAAGGACAACAUUGAAUUGGGGCUGGCUUACAGUUUCAGUGGUUCAGUCCAUUAUCAUCCAGGCGGGAGGCAUGGCAGUGUUCAGGCAGACAUGAUGCUGGAGGAGCCAAGAGUUCUGCAUAUUGAUCCAAAGGCAGCCAGGUGGAGGUUGAGCAUAGAGACCUCAAAGCCCAUCCCACAGUAACACACUUCCUCUAACAAGGGCACACGUCCUAUUAGUGUGACUUCCCAUGGACCAAAUGUAUUGAAACUACCAUAACUCCUUUUAGAACUUCACUGAGUAUGAACUCAGAGGGGUAAGCAUUUUUCAUUAUGACAAUUUCAUUAUUAUAGCAGUCAGAAUUAAAAAGUGUAAGAUAUUUGUGUAGCUGAGGUGCUUUUUGAACACAGAGUGCCAGUUUAUCUUGUGAUCACUGUCUGUUGUGCUUGUGGUGCCCCUUGAGCAGGGGCACUGGAUCCUGUCAUCAAGCCACAUUCAAGGAAGUUCCCAUUAGGUGGUUGUCCAGGGACUCACAACUUGGGAGGCCCCAGCCAGCCUGCAGUUUCACUCCCUAGCUGCUAGGGGGUGCUGGCCACCCGCAGUUCUUACUCCAGCAGUUUUUUGUUAGUAGGCUCAAAACUUAAGUGUGUUUUAUAAAGAGUCUGGGCAGUGUUGUGCAUGCCUUUAAUCCCA
rnacentral:lncRNA from 1 species